GGUCAAGGAUGGACUCGCGGCCUAUCAGCUUGUUGGUGAGGUAAUGGCUCACCAAGGCGACGACGGGUAGCCGGCCUGAGAGGGUGACCGGCCACACUGGGACUGAGACACGGCCCAGACUCCUACGGGAGGCAGCAGUGGGGAAUAUUGCACAAUGGGCGAAAGCCUGAUGCAGCAACGCCGCGUGAGGGACGACGGCCUUCGGGUUGUAAACCUCUUUUAGCAGGGAAGAAGCGAAAGUGACGGUACCUGCAGAAAAAGCACCGGCUAACUACGUGCCAGCAGCCGCGGUAAUACGUAGGGUGCAAGCGUUGUCCGGAAUUAUUGGGCGUAAAGAGCUCGUAGGCGGUUUGUCGCGUCUGCUGUGAAAUCCCGAGGCUCAACCUCGGGUCUGCAGUGGGUACGGGCAGACUAGAGUGCGGUAGGGGAGAUUGGAAUUCCUGGUGUAGCGGUGGAAUGCGCAGAUAUCAGGAGGAACACCGAUGGCGAAGGCAGAUCUCUGGGCCGCUACUGACGCUGAGGAGCGAAAGGGUGGGGAGCAAACAGGCUUAGAUACCCUGGUAGUCCACCCCGUAAACGUUGGGCGCUAGAUGUGGGGACCAUUCCACGGUUUCCGUGUCGUAGC
rnacentral:rRNA from 1 species